GAUGGCCUAGAGUUUGGAUAUUUCACUUGCAGCAUUGCCUAGUGGACCUCUACAAAAUUUGUUCAAAUCAUGUCCCCCGGGGUCAAAAUUGACCCCGCCCCAGGGGUCACUUGAUUUUACAUAGGAAAAUCUUUAAAAAAAUUCUAAAAAUAAACCAGAAGGCCUAGAUCUUAGAUAUUUGACAUGUAGCAUUGCCUAGUAGACUUCUACAAAAUUUGUUCAAAUCAUGACCCCACCCCAUGCGGUUACUUGAUUGUACAUAGAAAAAUCUUAAAAAUUUGUUAAAAAUAAACCAGAAGGCCUAGAGCUUAGAUAUUUGACAUGUUCCAUUGCCUAGUGGACCUCUACAAAAUUUGUUCAAAUCUUGACCCCCCCCCCCCCCCACCAGGGUCAAAUUGACCCAGCCCAGGGGUUACUUGGUUGUACAUAGAGAAAUCUUCAUAAAUUUGCUUAAAAUAAACCAGAAGGCCUAGAUCUUAGAUAUUUGAUAUGUAAUAUUGCCUAGUAGACUUCUACAAACUUGUUCAAAUCAUGACCCCCGGGGUAAAACUGACCCCGCCCCAGGGGUUACUUGAUUGUACAUCGGAAAAUCUUCCCAAAAAAAAUCUAAAAAUCAUCAGUUUGACAUUUGAAACAUGUAGCUCAUAUUACUCAGGUGAGCGAUUCAGGGCCAUCAUGACCCUCUUGUUUAAUAUUAUUAGGUCUACAGAUUUCAUAAAGGUAAAUGGAACAAUUAUCAAUGGUGACAGUAGUCCACCAGACCCCUCAAUAACAGGGAAAACAGCAUGUCUAGUCCUUAAAACCAGUUAAUUUUAUAUUUCUUUAUUAUAAUAGAUUACAUAAAAGGAGUAAAACAUCACACAAUUCACCAAAUUUUGCAUUUUCAUCUAGUAUGUUUACCUAUUUAUAUACAAACAUGACCUUCCACUACAGUUGUGACGUGGAGAUUUUCUACUGAUUGAGCAGAGGAAGCUAUGUUUUAAAACUGUUAUAUAGCGGCUAUAGCCCAAUUUGUUUUAGUUUUUUGCAAGCUUUAAAUGUACAGAUUAUAUGAGUUGUUGAGGGUUUCUCUUGAAAGACGGAAUGCAGCAUUCUUGCAUGAAAACUUUUUUUCCUGGAUUCCAGCAUGUGUUGACGGGAGAAAAAUAGUGCAUAUGCAGUGUUAUUAAUUUGUACUGUUUGUUUGUAUAUACGUUUAUUUAUAGUCGUCAUCGGUAACCGAUAUGGGCGACUCCUCAAGAAGACUGUUAGUAAUGUCAGUAGGAGGAUAGUGCAAGAUACGCUCUUAUCCCGAUGUUAGUAAUUUUUAGUUGGAGGAGCGGGGACUUGAACCCAUGACCCCUGGUUUCCUAGUCAGACAGUGUUACCACUGCACCACUGCGUCCGCUCUGUUGAUUUGUGCGCACCUGUUAUGAAUAUUUAAAACAUGUUGACCGUUUCCAUUAGCAACAGAACGGUAAUUAAAAUUUGUACCAGAAUCGUAAAGUCAUCACGUAUGAAAACAAUACAAUUAGUCGUCAUGUGUUUAUGGAAGCGACAUAACACCUUUGAUUGUGUAUUAAAGUCUGCAGAAACCCUUGAGAUAAUGUUGGAGACCCAGGCAAAAACCAACAGUACUGCGGGUUUCUGCAGACGUUCACACACAAGAAAAGCCUGUAUUAUCCCUAUAUACCGGUAAAAAGAAUAGCUUAGGUAUAGGUAGACUCGAUUCUUGACAUAAGGUAAUAUGUCGUAUCAAGGUAAUAAACAUUAACAAUUAUAUAACACUUUCAUAGACAAUUAGGGCCUAUGGUUCUACAGUAUGUAAGAUGCUGUAAAGGAUGAUACAGUGUUUCCCAUACCUCGAAAGUCGAACUCGUGAAACUACGAUGUUGAAAGUCGAAACCACGAUGACGAAAGUCGAAAUCACGAUGGCGAAAACACGAAACUACUAUGGUUACAUUAGAUUUCUUUAUUCCCUCCAAUAAUCAUCCGGGAGAUAAUACGAUAUUUCAUCAUCGUGGCUUCAACUUUCACCUUUUGACUUUCAUCAUCGUAAUUUGGACUUUUCACCAUAGUGGUUUCGAUGAAGAAAACACGAAACCACGAUAGUGAAAACGCGAAAUGAUAUAGUGUUUUCAUCAUCAUGGUUUUCGUGGUUUUGACUUUCACAGUCGUAGUUUCGAGUUUUCACAAUCGUGAUUUCGACUUUCACCAUCGUGUUUUCAACUUUCAAUCUUCGUAGUUUCGUGAUUUCGACUCGCAUAAGUUCGAGAUAUGGAGUUCAGAAGUAAAAAACGAUCAAAACGGAACACUGUAAGAUAAGCAUUAUCGAUUCGCACAUUUUCAAGAAAAUUGUAUCACUUUAUUCGGCUGAUCGACAUAAAGAUUUUGUUUCUUUAAAACGGCUAACAUAAUUUUGAGUUUUCAGCAACGAUUAUCUUUAUAAUUUUUUACCUGAUUUGAUUCCUUACGCAGCGCAUGCAAUAUGAAGCACGUAAUUGUAAUAUAGCUGUUCAUAUUAACAUCGCAAAUAUUCUAUUUCAAAUCCAAAUUGAAUUUCUUUAAAAUAAAAGAAAUUUUCUCUGUAUAAUGAUUCAAGGAAAAUUGUUUUUAUGACAACAUUUCGUAUUACUCAUGCACAAUUAUGUUUUUUUAUUUUUCCUUUCAGUGAUUACAAAACAGUUGUUCAAUGCAUCGCCACAGUCACAACUCAAUAUCAGUUCAUAUUUUCAGGCCGAGUGUUUUUUCGCUUGAAAAUUGCAUUAAAGCCUUAACAGUUGGUCAGAUUAUCAUCAACAUAGAAGCAUUUGAUGAUUUAUAGUACUUACGCCGCUUGUAAAAUGUUUGAGUCUCGUUUAGACCGAAAGUUUACCCCAAAAUAUUGAAAUCUUACGCGCAGUCAAACUCCAUUAUAUCACAUAUUACAAAGACAAAAUUUAGUUCUUUUUGAAGUACAAUAUAUAUACUACAAACUCUUACGGAAUUUUGUCGAAAUUGUUCCUGGUUAUUGCAUUAGACAUAAAAAAGACAACCCCAUGUAAAUUUAAUUUAAAAUGUUGUUUGUACAUGCAUUACUGACCACUGCUAGCUAGGUAAACCAGUACACAUCGAUGGUUCUACGCUAACUACCUUGAGCAAGCUAUCGUACUAACUAGAAGUUAAAUAGUGUGAUUUCUUGGCUUUUUUAAUCACUGCUUGAACAACUUGACAGCUGCACUUGAGCGUAUUUUCAUGAGCCUUGUGAAUUCAGAUUCAAUAUUCAAUUAACAUAGAAAGGGGAAAUGCGGGACGACGAGUUGUCUUUCUUUCAGGCCAGAGCCCAAAGAAAAUAAUUUUUUAGAAAAGAAUUUAUCGAAAGAAAAAGAACAAUUGCUCGUGCGCGGAAUUUUUUUUAUCGAAACGGAAGAAGAACAAUUGCUCGUGCGCGGAUCUGAGUGCGUAACGGGGCGUUGUUACACCUCAAAAUGGUAGCAACGCAUUUUGGUAGUCACUACCAAAUUCGGCGAAUUUUGGUAGCGACAAAAUGCGUUGCAAGGGUACAUAAUUAUGAUGUGUUAAGGAUCAUGGAAUGGAACGUAUUUUGGUAGUUUUUUCUACACCAAAGGCUUUUUUUCCAUUUUACAUUACGCACAAGAGAGAGAGAGAUAAAUAAGGGAAUGUCUCCUAUAAAAAUGGCGGGGGAGGGGGUUCGGUGUUCCCCUCCCGAGAUACUGUUUUCGUAUAAAAAAAACAACCAAAAUGUAUAUUCCUGGGCGUGUGAAAGGGGCCUCAAAAUAUUGUAUUGUUUUGUUGUUUAAAUGUGCUGGUGUUGUUGGAGGAAUAGUCCAACGAGAUUUUUAAAGCACGAAAAUGUUGAAUUCUGUAAAACGGAGUAUUUUGAGGAUGGCACGUGGGUCCUCCGCCUAGAUAUUUUUAAAACGUCCCACAUAAAAUGGUGAAUUCUGUGCAUGUUUUAGGGGUCUUAGAUAAAUAUUUCCGGCAAAAAAUUCUCUUUAAAGGUGAGGGGUUUCGAGAGUCCACCACAGAUAUCUUUGAAACACAACGUAAAAGACGAGAAAGUUAUGUCCGGAGUGCCUGAUAUUUUACUUGACCAACCACGGUAACUAUCGGUGAAUAAAUUAACCCGGAAUUAAAUUCACUACCGGAUUGGAUUAUUUAUAUUAAACAACAUUGAAAUAUUUUUUUAAAAAAUUGGUGGAUAAAGGUUGCAUGUCUACCUUCCAUGUACUUCUAAAGGUAUUAUACAACCCGUCUUAUGUGACCUUUUCUCAUGAAUCUCCUGAACUUUAAUUUCAAACAGUUUAUACUUACUUAUGGACGUUUGUGAAACCUGUCCCAGGGUCAUGCGACGGUUUCUUGAAAUGUGCCAUUUGAAACAUAUUUAGAGAGCUGCGUAGCAUAACUUAAAACCAAUGUAUAUAAUUAUAACAAUGUAUAAUGAAUUUAUAUUUUGCAAGCAUCGACAGCUAACUUUAGUUAUGAAGUUGUUGAAACGAAACUAUUGACUAAGUUGUGUCCCCCUAACCGAAAAAAAUACAAAAAGAAGUCCAGGAUUUUAUAUAGUAUAUUUUUUUUAGAUAUUGGUUCCUAUCAUUUUGCUUUUAAAGCGCAAUGAUGUUGAAAAUGUUCUUUUUUAAAACAUGUUGAAAUUAUAAUAAACGUUUUAGGAUCGUCACAUAGGCCUACGCUCAGUACGUGUUACAAUACAUUGGCUAGCACAAGUGUCUGUGCAAAACAUUAUUUUAAAAUCGGAAGAGUGGUUUCAACGGAGAAGUGUAUUAUAGUGCUGCCACUGUGCAGCUGUGAAAGGACAUCUGGAAAAUUUGACUUUUGACUUCCUUAAUGCACAUAUCUAUGAAAUAUGUCUUAUUAUAAAUAAGAGUAAUGAGACUUUUUUGUCCUAAAUGAAGCGUGACUACCGCUACCGGAAAGAUCUUUUAUGACUAGAAAAAAUACAAGCACUUCACGUGUAAAAGAUAUUCAAACAAGAUAAUAUAUGCACACUUCUCAAGAGAUACACCAUAAGUUAUUGUAAUAUAACAAGAGCAUUCGAGCCGUGCCAUGAGAAAACCAAUAUAGUGCGUUUGCAAUCAGCAUGGAUCCAGACCAGACUGCGCGGAUGCGCAGGCUGGUCUGGAUCCAAGCUGGUCGCUUUCAAAGCCUAUUGCAAUUAGAGAAACCGUUAGCGAACAGCAUGGAUCCUAACCAGACUGCGCGGAUGCGCAGGCUAGUCUGGAUUCAUGCUGGUUGCAAACACACUAUGUUUGAAUUUAUCAUGGCGUGGCUCAUUUACUUUGAGGCAACAAAAGCAAAUUUUAGAAUUCUUGUCGUUGUUUUCGUUUAUGAUUAAAUGAACGUACUUUCGGAAAUUCGAGAAAAAAUAUAAUUACAUAACGAAACAUCCUCCCUUGAAAUAAAUAUAAUUUGACUGCAAAACACACACACACACACACAACUAUAAUUACAUGACUGUGCACUUUAUAUAAAUUCAUUAUGAACUUUUAUAUCUAUAGACAAGUGGGCGUUCGAUCUUAUUUCUAUUCUAAAAAAAAAGCUUAUGAAAAAUUAUAAAUUCCGAAUACAACUUAUCUUUAACACCUGACCCUGCAAUGUCAUUAAAUUAAAAAGUAUUGGAAUUACUUCAUUACGACAAAAACUGUCUCGUUUACCUUGACACUCCCCUCGCCAUCUAGCUGUAAGACCUAUCAUUUUUGACAGUUUCUGGCUACCCGGAAGUGACUGAAACAGGAUGUCGUCGUAACAAACUUGGUAUAUAUUCGCCGAUUUUCAUUUCAAUGUCACUUCUGAAUUGGAAAGUCAACUAAACCAGUAAGUACAGUUUACUUAAAUAUUCAGAAAAUUAAAUGAUUUAUCAGAUAGAUCUAGUCUUUUUUAAAUAAACAACUUGCAUUUCAAAAGUAAUUGGUUAAAACUGUUCUUAAUUAGAGAUGAAGCCGGCAAAUUUUAAGAAAAUUGGCAGAUCUAAAGUCAUGAUAAAUAGCGUUUAUUUCAUUUAAAAAAAUAACAUCAUUUUUUAGCUUUGCUAUAUACAUAGAAGUAUAAAAUUUCUUUUUAUAUCUCUUUGCUAUAUAUAACCAUGGCUUUUUUUUAAACAAAAAUCACUUUAAAUAUUUUUCAUAAAUGUUAAGAAUCUAAAGAUAAUAAAUAAGUAAACAUUGUUAAAUAAAAAUAUCUGUCAAUUAUUCAUUUCUUUACUAGUACCAGAAUUUCUUUACGACCGUUAAUUUUUGUACCGGUGUCAUAAUAUUUACACGAUCGUUAUUUACAGAAAACCACCACCAGCAGCCAUGAAAUCCGUCGCAAUUGUCGCCCUUGCUCUCGCAUGUGUGCUCGGUCUUGCCACAGCCCAGUUCGGGUAUUACCCCGCUCAACAAAGCACAGGCGGAUUCGGAAACGGUGGCUUUUUGGCCCUCAUUGGUAUGCUAGUUCUCUUGUUCACCCUCUUUGGAUUUAACAAUUCCGACAACGGAGACACCACUAUCAUCUACGGAAAUUUCUCUGGACCAACUGGUGGCAAGUAAGCGCUAAACUCCAAUACCAAGACAUUUCUGAAUACCGGACAAAGAAACACACGCCGAUUGCGAUAUCAGAAUUACCGUUAUGUGAUCAUUAUUUCAUUUGUACUGCUGUGGUGGCAUUAUUUCAUGGAUAUAGAAAAAUAAAAACAUCUGUCU